rnacentral:lncRNA from 10 species
CACCUCUUUCUCUGCUUUCAUUUCGUCGGACUGGCUGCGCCCCUACCUUUCUCUCUGAAUCCAUCACACCCCUCCCUGACUCCUGCCAGGCCAUGGCAGAAUUGCUGUUCCCAGGAAGGCAGGCCUGGCCUGGGCUGAAAAGCAGAUCUGGGUUCUAAUCUCCCUUCUGCAUGGACCUGCGGGUGACACAAGCUUGGUGCCUUCUCCUCUCUGAACUUCAAGUCCUUACUUGGACAAGAUGGCCUGGCUCCUCCCAGCCCUGGAUUUGGGGAUGCUCCGAUGCUGCCUGGGAGCCCAGUCUGAUCAUGGUGGCCUGGAAAUCAAGGCUAAGCGAAAGGAAAGCCUGAAAGAGCUGCACUCUAAGCACCACAGCAGGACUUGCCCCUGAAUGGAGAUGGGGCUGGGGCAGGAAGGUGGCAGGGAGGGGCUGGGCCCUGUGACUGUCACCUCCAGGUUGGAGGAGUGGGGAGGGAAAGGCAGGGCAGGGUGCGUUAUCACACACACACUCACCCACAUACACUCAAGCACACACCACAGAGUCCAAGGAAAACCUGUUUCUGUCCUAGCAC